GAUGAACGCUAGCGGCAGGCUUAAUACAUGCAAGUCGUGGGGCAGCGCAGGUAGCAAUACUGGGCGGCGACCGGCAAACGGGUGCGGAACACGUACACAACCUUCCGAGAAGUGGGAGUAGCCCAGAGAAAUUUGGAUUAAUACCCCGUAACAUAACGAUGUGGCAUCACAUUGUUAUUAUAGCUUCGGCGCUUCUUGAUGGGUGUGCGGCUGAUUAGAUAGUUGGCGGGUAACGGCCCACCAAGUCUACGAUCAGUAGCUGAUGUGAGAGCAUGAUCAGCCACACGGGCACUGAGACACGGGCCCGACUCCUACGGGAGGCAGCAGUAAGGAAUAUUGGUCAAUGGACGCAAGUCUGAACCAGCCAUGCCGCGUGAAGGAUUAAAGGUCCUCUGGAUUGUAAACUUCUUUUAUCUGGGACGAAAAAAGGCGAUUCUUCGUCACUUGACGGUACCAGAUGAAUAAGCACCGGCUAACUCCGUGCCAGCAGCCG
rnacentral:rRNA from 1 species